UCCCAGGCGGAGUCAGCCUGGGCUCACAACGGGGAGCAAGCAGUGGCUUGGGAGGAGCUAAGUUGAAAGCACUCCCUCCCUUCAUGUAGGCUCUGUGUGACUGCAAGGGAGAUGGAGCUGUUGUGUGCUUCUACAUCCAACCUAGUGACCUAGAAAUGAAGGGCUAGAGAAGCUAUUACCAGCUUUUUCAACUACUGCCUCUUGCAGAGCUCCUGUCACCCUGCUUUCAUCAGCCUUUGCCAGGCCUGGAAACCUCCAUCACCUGUGGCCUAAGCACUGCUUGAUGCUGCACAGCACUCACUGAGGGAAAUGUUCAUGAGAAAAUUCAUGCACAUUUUAGCUGAGCUGAGGCUGGAAUGUAAGUCCAAGUUAAUGAAGCAGCCUCAAAGUUGAGGAGGAAGAGAAUAAACUGCAGCUCUGAGGCACAGACCAUUGGAGAUCCCUCUUUCAAACCCUGCCUUUGCCACUCACUGGAGUUAUUUGAUUUGGGAGCAAGAUAAGAAUUCACAAUAUCUGAUUUGUAGAAAUAACCUGGAGGAAGAAAAAACAGACAGAAAUACUAAUUUCAGAUAUAAUUUUCAUCUCUCAGUUUUCUAAAAGUCUUUCUCAUGUCUAAUAGCAUUAAGCAAAUACAAAGUACAGAUUUUGGGGAAGUUGUGCACUGACUGACAAAUGCAUCUCCAAAUAGCCCACAGUUCAGCACUUCUUUUUCUGUCAAUACUCCGUGACCAGGAAAGGUUUGGAGCAUAAUUCUCUCCCAGUAAUCUAUCUUCUCCCUUUCUCUCACUCCUUUUUUUUUUUCUAGUAAGAAAUAGACCUGGAAAUUCAUUGCUGAUUUCCCAGGAGUGUUAUUCAUGCCAGUUUAUUUAUGUAUUUAUUAUUCAAGUGCAAACUAUUGCAGUUCCUUGUGGUAAACUGCAAAUCAAACUGAUAGAGGCAGAGGGCUGGCUGUCACACCAAGUGCCAUAGAGACGAGUGCUGAUGCUGUGGCUGCAACUGCCCCUAAGUGAGGAGGUGUCAGGACAAUUCAGCCUCCCUGGUGCUCUGGUCUGCCCAGGCCUUGGCUAGAGCUGCAAAAAACCAGUAUGCCUUCACAAGGAUUUAAUUGUCUUCAGCAGGACGUUUAAUACAACUAUGUUUUAACAUGUGAGCAUAAUAGUUUAUUUUGUUUAAGUGUUGGAACUGCAGCUAGGAGAAAUCUAUAUUAAGGCUGAUAAGAAAGGGGCAACUUUGACUUGGAAUGUGGUCAAUUGCAGAAAUAAAAGAUGUCUCUAAUGUA